AUUGAACGCUGGCGGCAGGCCUAACACAUGCAAGUCGAACGGUAACAGGAAGCAGCUUGCUGCUUUGCUGACGAGUGGCGGACGGGUGAGUAAUGUCUGGGAAACUGCCCGAUGGAGGGGGAUAAUUACUGGAAACGGUAGCUAAUACCGCAUAACGUCGCAAGACCAAAGAGGGGGACCUUAGGGCCUCUUGCCAUCGGAUGUGCCCAGAUGGGAUUAGCUAGUAGGUGGGGUAACGGCUCACCUAGGCGACGAUCCCUAGCUGGUCUGAGAGGAUGACCAGCCACACUGGAACUGAGACACGGUCCAGACUCCUACGGGAGGCAGCAGUGGGGAAUAUUGCACAAUGGGCGCAAGCCUGAUGCAGCCAUGCCGCGUGUAUGAAGAAGGCCUUCGGGUUGUAAAGUACUUUCAGCGGGGAGGAAGGGAGUAAAGUUAAUACCUUUGCUCAUUGACGUUACCCGCAGAAGAAACACCGGCUAACUCCGUG
rnacentral:rRNA from 1 species